CUUCGAUGUUGACUCCUCUGCUUUGGUGGUGGUGCGUCGCCCUCUCCGGCGCCGGCCUCUCUUCUCCAUCUUCCUUUCAACUUCAUGGUGUGGUUGUUGUCGUUGGUCAUUGCCUUGUUGUUGUUGCUACUUCGUGCUUCCUUUUUCUCUCAAGGGUAAAUGAUUGGAGAAGGGUUAAAGAGAUUUGGAUCAUGGAGUUAAUCGAAGAAUGAUGAUCGAAUGAGGCUUGGGAUUUAUGUGUGGCGGUUCGAGAGUUGUAUUUUGCAGGACUAUGAAGAUCAUGAAUAAGUUAUCGGCUAGAAGAUGCUUAAUGGUUAUUUAAUUUCAAGGUGCAACUGAAUCCAGAU